rnacentral:rRNA from 1 species
GGGUUGUGAGGUUAAGCGACUAAGCGUACACGGUGGAUGCCCUGGCAGUCAGAGGCGAUGAAGGACGUGCUAAUCUGCGAAAAGCGUCGGUAAGGUGAUAUGAACCGUUAUAACCGGCGAUGUCCGAAUGGGGAAACCCAGUGCAAUUCGUUGCACUAUCGUUAACUGAAUACAUAGGUUAACGAGGCGAACCGGGGGAACUGAAACAUCUAAGUACCCCGAGGAAAAGAAAUCAACCGAGAUUCCCCCAGUAGCGGCGAGCGAACGGGGAGCAGCCCAGAGUCUGAAUCAGCUUGUGUGUUAGUGGAACGGUCUGGAAAGUCCGACGGUACAGGGUGAUAGUCCCGUACACCAAAAUGCACAGGCUGUGAACUCGAAGAGUAGGGCGGGACACGUGGUAUCCUGUCUGAAUAUGGGGGGACCAUCCUCCAAGGCUAAAUACUCCUGACUGACCGAUAGUGAACCAGUACCGUGAGGGAAAGGCGAAAAGAACCCCGGCGAGGGGAGUGAAAAAGAACCUGAAACCGUGUACGUACAAGCAGUGGGAGCACCUUCGGGUGUGACUGCGUACCUUUUGUAUAAUGGGUCAGCGACUUAUAUUCUGUAGCAAGGUUAACCGUAUAGGGGAGCCGCAGGGAAACCGAGUCUUAACUGGGCGUUAAGUUGCAGGGUAUAGACCCGAAACCCGGUGAUCUAGCCAUGGGCAGGUUGAAGGUUGGGUAACACUAACUGGAGGACCGAACCGACUAAUGUUGAAAAAUUAGCGGAUGACUUGUGGCUGGGGGUGAAAGGCCAAUCAAACCGGGAGAUAGCUGGUUCUCCCCGAAAGCUAUUUAGGUAGCGCCUCGUGAACUCAUCUUCGGGGGUAGAGCACUGUUUCGGCUAGGGGGUCAUCCCGACUUACCAACCCGAUGCAAACUACGAAUACCGAAGAAUGUUAUCACGGGAGACACACGGCGGGUGCUAACGUCCGUCGUGAAGAGGGAAACAACCCAGACCGCCAGCUAAGGUCCCAAAGUCAUGGUUAAGUGGGAAACGAUGUGGGAAGGCACAGACAGCCAGGAUGUUGGCUUAGAAGCAGCCAUCAUUUAAAGAAAGCGUAAUAGCUCACUGGUCGAGUCGGCCUGCGCGGAAGAUGUAACGGGGCUAAACCAUGCACCGAAGCUGCGGCAGCGACACGAUGUGUUGUUGGGUAGGGGAGCGUUCUGUAAGCCUGCGAAGGUGGCCUGUGAGGGUUGCUGGAGGUAUCAGAAGUGCGAAUGCUGACAUAAGUAACGAUAAAGCGGGUGAAAAGCCCGCUCGCCGGAAGACCAAGGGUUCCUGUCCAACGUUAAUCGGGGCAGGGUGAGUCGACCCCUAAGGCGAGGCCGAAAGGCGUAGUCGAUGGGAAACAGGUUAAUAUUCCUGUACUUGGUGUUACUGCGAAGGGGGGACGGAGAAGGCUAUGUUAGCCGGGCGACGGUUGUCCCGGUUUAAGCAUGUAGGCUGGUUAUCCAGGCAAAUCCGGAUAAUCAAGGCUGAGGUGUGAUGACGAGGCACUACGGUGCUGAAGUAACAAAUGCCCUGCUUCCAGGAAAAGCCUCUAAGCAUCAGGUAACAUCAAAUCGUACCCCAAACCGACACAGGUGGUCAGGUAGAGAAUACCAAGGCGCUUGAGAGAACUCGGGUGAAGGAACUAGGCAAAAUGGUGCCGUAACUUCGGGAGAAGGCACGCUGGUGUGUAGGUGAAGUCCCUGCGGAUGGAGCUGAGACCAGUCGAAGAUACCAGCUGGCUGCAACUGUUUAUUAAAAACACAGCACUGUGCAAACACGAAAGUGGACGUAUACGGUGUGACGCCUGCCCGGUGCCGGAAGGUUAAUUGAUGGGGUUAUCCGUAAGGAGAAGCUCUUGAUCGAAGCCCCGGUAAACGGCGGCCGUAACUAUAACGGUCCUAAGGUAGCGAAAUUCCUUGUCGGGUAAGUUCCGACCUGCACGAAUGGCGUAAUGAUGGCCAGGCUGUCUCCACCCGAGACUCAGUGAAAUUGAACUCGCUGUGAAGAUGCAGUGUACCCGCGGCAAGACGGAAAGACCCCGUGAACCUUUACUAUAGCUUGACACUGAACAUUGAGCCUUGAUGUGUAGGAUAGGUGGGAGGCUUUGAAGCGUGGACGCCAGUCUGCGUGGAGCCAACCUUGAAAUACCACCCUUUAAUGUUUGAUGUUCUAACGUGGGCCCCUAAUCGGGGUUGCGGACAGUGUCUGGUGGGUAGUUUGACUGGGGCGGUCUCCUCCCAAAGCGUAACGGAGGAGCACGAAGGUUAGCUAAUCCUGGUCGGACAUCAGGAGGUUAGUGCAAUGGCAUAAGCUAGCUUGACUGCGAGCGUGACGGCGCGAGCAGGUGCGAAAGCAGGUCAUAGUGAUCCGGUGGUUCUGAAUGGAAGGGCCAUCGCUCAACGGAUAAAAGGUACUCCGGGGAUAACAGGCUGAUACCGCCCAAGAGUUCAUAUCGACGGCGGUGUUUGGCACCUCGAUGUCGGCUCAUCACAUCCUGGGGCUGAAGUAGGUCCCAAGGGUAUGGCUGUUCGCCAUUUAAAGUGGUACGCGAGCUGGGUUUAGAACGUCGUGAGACAGUUCGGUCCCUAUCUGCCGUGGGCGCUGGAGAAUUGAGGGGGGCUGCUCCUAGUACGAGAGGACCGGAGUGGACGCAUCACUGGUGUUCGGGUUGUCAUGCCAAUGGCACUGCCCGGUAGCUAAAUGCGGAAGAGAUAAGUGCUGAAAGCAUCUAAGCACGAAACUUGCCCCGAGAUGAGUUCUCCCUGAGACUUUAAGUCUCCUGAAGGAACGUUGAAGACGACGACGUUGAUAGGCCGGGUGUGUAAGCGCAGCGAUGCGUUGAGCUAACCGGUACUAAUGAACCGUGAGGCUUAACCUUACAACGCCGAAG